GCCGUGUGGGUGGACGGGGCUGUGGGGGAGCCCCAGGUCGUGGGGCCCGUCGGGUCAGUGUGGGUGACUGGCACCGGGGGGCAGGACGAGGAGGGGGCGCUUCAUCAGAGUCCCCGGGGCGGUGAGCGGAAAGGCCUCCCGGGCUCCACGGGGCACGAGAGCAUUCUGGAACUGUGGCUGAAGGUGCAGGCUAUGAGGGCAGCCUCGGGCUGUGGGGAAGGAAGCACGGUGGAGCUCCACCCGGUACCUGCAGGGGAGGGCCCGGUUGAAAGGGGUGUCCCCGGCCGGGCUUCCUGGGUAGAGACCGGCCGGGCUGGCCUCACGGGACCCUGGGUGAAAGGACAGGCCAGGGCAGGGCCCCGGACCCCAGGAGGAUCUGCAGCUGUGGGGCUCGGGGCAGCUUGUGGGACGGCCUCUGGCUUGUGUGGGCAGGGACAGACCCAGGACCUGCUUCCUGGGGGUGUGCCUGCAACCCUGGGGACAAGUUCUGAGAUUAUCCCGUACCUGCUGGGGAGAGGACAGGCUGUGGGGGUACCUAGAGCCAUGGGCUGGCCUGAGGCUGUGCAGAGAGAGAUGGGCUGUGGGGCUGCUCCAGGUUUGUGGGACAGGGGGCAGCCGGUGCAGGUGCCAGGGGUGCCGGCUCGAGAGGUGGUCUGUGGGGACAUCCCCGGCCUGUGGGGAAGGGGACAGGUUGGGAGGAUGCGCGAUGCUGUGGGGGCACCUAGAGGCGUGGAGGAAGAAGCAACCUCUGUGGGUGCCCUGGGCAUGUGGCGGAGGAGGCAGGCUGUGGAGGGGAUGGGCUCUGGGGGUGUUCCUGGCGUGUGGGGUGCUGGACAGCCUGUUGGGGUGCCUUGUGCUUUUGAAGAGAAAGCCAGAUGUGGGGGUGACCCAGGAUUCAGGGAGAGGGGACAGGGCAUGUGGGUAGAGACUGGGUCUGGAGGUGACCCGGGGUCAUGGGCAGCCGCACAGACGGUAGAGCUAAGUGGCCGUGAUGAGCCGGAGGGAGGCCCUGGGGGUGCUCCAGGCCUGUGGGGUAUAGGGCCAGGAAUGGGAGUACCUUCGGCUUUGGGGAAGGAGACAGGCUGUGGGAGUGUCCCGGGUCCGUGGGGGACUGAGCAGCUGGUGGGGGUGUCCCAGGCUGUGGUAGUGCCACCUGGAGCCCAGGGAGAACAGGUGAGCUAUGGAGGUAUCCCCAGCCUGUGGGAGAGGCAGCAGGCUCUGGGGGUGCCUCUGUCCGAUGCGGUGCCAGGGCUUGCUGGGCAGGACACAAGCUGCGGGAGUGCCAUGAGCCUGUGGGAGAGGAGGCCCGCUCUGGAGGAGCAAGAGGCCCUGGUGCCAACAGUUUUAGGGGUGCCUGGGCCUGUGGAUCAGGAGGCUGGAUGUGGUGACGUGUCCUGUCUGUGCAGGAGGAGACAGGCUGUGGGGUGGCCUGACCCGGAGGGGAUGCCCGAGGCCGCUGUUUUGCCCAAGCACAGGUGUGCCCCAGCAGGGGUCCCCCCAGAGGUGGGUAUGCCAGGGCCUGGAAGGGUCCCUGCCAGGGUGCCUGCCGCGGUGUGGGUAUCUGGCCCUGCGUGUCAGGAAGGCAGCUCCAGAGAUGUCUUGGACCUGUGGGAAAGGGCUCGUAGCGCCACGCUCCCCGUGGCUCCUGAGGAGCUGUGGUCUGUGUGUGAGGACACUGGGUCUGCAGCUUUCCCCGGAUUGUGGGGAAGGAGACAGGCGGUCAGGGUUCCCGAAGCACCUGGGUUUGUCGGGGAGGAGACAGGCCCCGGCGGUGUCCCCAGAUCUUGGGGAAGGAGACAGAGUGCCAGGGCUCCUGGGGCUGCUGAGGUGCCCACGGCUGCCAGGGUGCCUGGUCCUCUGGGGAUGGAGGCCAGCUCUGGGGGUUUCUCAGGCUUGUCAGGAAGGAGACAGACAGCUGGGGUGUCCACAGCUGGCGGGGUGCCUGUGGCCCCCAGGACACCUAGGCCUGUCUGGGAGGAGUUGGCUCCGGGAGGUGUUGCAGGCCCAUGGGGGCAGAGGGAGACAGCGCCAGGACCUGCAGACUCCUGGGCUCCCACAAGGGUGGGGGUGCCCAGCACUGCCAGGAUGCCUAUGCCCGUGGGGGAAAGGCUGGGCCCUGGGGACCCCUCAGGCUUGUUGGGAGGGAGGUGGACUGCUGAGAUGCUCGCGGCUGCGGGCGCUUCCGUGGCUGCAGGGGUCCCUGGGCCGAUGAUGGCUGAUGCCGGCUCUGGGGAUGCUCCAGGUGUGUGGGGGCAGAGACCAGUGAUGGAUCUGCCCGCUGCUGCCGGGGCUGCAGGACCUGCCCACGGGGCGACUGGCUCCGACAGUGUCUCUGGUCUGUGGAGAAGAAGACCCAGUGGACCGGCCGCUGAGUCUGUGCGGGUGCCUGUAUCUUUGGGGGUGCUUGCGGCUGUAGGGGUUCCUGCGACGGGGCGCGCGCCUGCUGCGGUGUGGGUGACAGGGUGUAUGGGAGAAGAAAUGGCUACAGCUGCCUCGGGUCUCCCAGCAUUGAGGAGACAGUCCGUGGAGGGAGCUGGGGCUUUGGGCGGGGCGGAGGCAGGAGGCUGCAGUCUGGAGCUGACUGGGGGAAGCCAAGCGGCAGGGGUCCCUCACAUCCAUGGCUGUGGGACCAGGUCAUGGAGCUGCCCCCGGCCUGGUGCGGGAGAGGCCGACCAUGAGAGCAUGUGCGCCGUGUCAUGGACCAGAACCGCCGUGGGGGCGCCUGACGCUGUGGGGGUGCCCNNNNNNNNNNNNNNNNNNNNNNNNNNNNNNNNNNNNNNNNNNNGGGUGCCCCAGGUUUCAAGGCUGGAAACUGGCGUUGGCUGUUUCAGGGAUCACCUGCAGCAGAGUGGGGGGGGACAGGCCUCAGGAGCGUCUGGAGCUAGGGUGAGGG
ensembl:lncRNA